CUCUAAUUGAAAUCUAAUUAAAUCUUUCUGAAACAACCCAAAUCAAUUAGCCCACUCAUUCUUUCUCUCUUCAACUCCAUCAACACCACCCUUCUCUCUCUACCAUACACGAACACCAGCAAAUCAUGAUGUCGUCGACAAAGUGAUUUUGGGGUGUUAAUUAGGCUGAUAACUUUGACUGUUGAUGUCAAUUAGGCUUUGUAGAACCCUAAAUAUGCAACAGUUGGCUCUACAAUGGAUUUUACCCAAAGUAGCGGCUUCUCAACGAUGGCGUAGACAUGUUCGUGGCCGAACUCCUUCAGCGUCUUCACAGAAAGGUAAAAUACUUGUAACCAUUCGAUGAAUAAGGUCCAAUUGUAGAUUGUAAGGUAAAUUCUCCAGAAAUUUGAGAAAAAUCUGGCCAUUGGAAGUGAAUUUUGGCAGUAGAUCUGAGCUAAGAGAAAAAGGGAGAGAGAGAGAGAGAGAGAGAGAGAGAGAGCGUGUGUGGAAUAUAUGAAGAUGAAUAUUGAAUGGGGAUUAGGUGGACUGAUUAACGAUGCUGGUGUGCAGUGCGAUAAAUUAUUGUUUAAAAAAUUUACAAUUUCAUUAUUCAAAAUUAAGAAAAUUUACUGAUCUUUUGUGGUUGUGCAGAUCUGAGCGAUGGAAUGUGGGUAGUGUGUAUAAAUCUAUGGGUGGUGUGUGGAUAUGUUGAUCUACAUGUUGUGGUGGUGGUGUAGUUAUGCUUGUGGUAGUGGCUAGGGUUUAUUGUGACCUAUAAAUAAUGUAACCGAAAAAUAUGCAAUUUGUAACUAAAUUUGUAAUUAUGAC
rnacentral:lncRNA from 1 species